GACGUUCUACUACAGUUAGACGUCCGCCGGGUACUACGAGCAUUAGCUUGAAACCCUGAAGACCUGACGGUGCCUCAGACCCCCCUAGAGGAGCCUGUUCUAGAACCGAUAACCCCCGUUAAACCUCACCACUUCUAGCCACCCCAGCCUAUAUACCGCCGUCGUCAGCUUACCCUGUGAAGG
rnacentral:rRNA from 1 species